AUUGAACGCUGGCGGCAUGCCUUACACACGCAAGUCGAACGGUAACGCGGGGCAACCUGGCGACGAGUGGCGAACGGGUGAGUAAUGUAUCGGAACGUGCCCAGUUGUGGGGGAUAACUGCCCGAAAGAGCAGAUAAUACCGCAUACGACCUGAGGGUGAGAGCGGGGGAUCGCAAGACCGCGCGAAAUUGGAGCGGCCGAGAUCCGAUUAGGUAGUUGGUGGGGUAAAGGCUCACCAAGCCAACGAUCUGUAGCUGGUCUGAGAGGACGACCAGCCACACUGGGACUGAGACACGGCCCAGACUCCUACGGGAGGCAGCAGUGGGGAAUUUUGGACAAUGGACGCAAGUCUGAUCCAGCCAUGCCGCGUGCGGGAAGAAGGCCUUCGGGUUGUAAACCGCUUUUGUCAGGGAAGAAACGCUCUGGGUUAAUACCUCGGGGUAAUGACGGUACCUGAAGAAUAAGCACCGGCUAACUACGUGCCAGCAGCCGCCGUAAAAC
rnacentral:rRNA from 1 species